rnacentral:misc_RNA from 1 species
GAUAAGAACGUAGCGAAAUGCGAUAAGUAAUGUGAAUUGCAGAAUUCAGUGAAUCAUCGAAUCUUUGAACGCACAUUGCGCCCAUUAGUAUUCUAGUGGGCAUGCCUGUUCGAGCGUCAUUUCAACCCUUAAGCCUAGCUUAGUGUUGGGAGACUGCCUAAUACGCAGCUCCUCAAAACCAGUGGCGGAGUCUGUUCGUGCUCUGAGCGUAGUAAUUUUUUAUCUCGCUUCUGCAAGCCGGCCAGACGACAGCCAUAAACCGCACCCUCUCGGGGGGCACUUUUUUAAUGGUUGACCUCGGAUCAGGUAGGAAUACCCGCUGAACUUAAGCAUAUCAAUAAGCGGAGGA